rnacentral:rRNA from 1 species
AUGGAUUCGGACCGCUUCAACGUCGAUGAGCUGAAGCAUAUCUUGCGCGACGGUUCUUCCGCGGCGAAGAUUGACUGGGGCAACGAGGAGCACCGCCGCUGCGUCGUCGCCUGCAUGGUCAAAGGUGCUUACGUCCUGGAGAGCGACAGAGCGACGAUGGACAGGAGGGAGGAGCUCGCGCCGGCGUGGUGGGAGAGCUUUGGCUUCCACCUCGAGAAUGAACUCAGAGAGCAGAAGCCCCCCAUCUUCGAAACCAUCUAUGGUGCCAUCUUCAAGUACGCGCCCUGCCCCCGCACGCCUCCCCACCCGCGUGCUCCACGGUAUGUCGUCGCCUUUAGGGGCACCAUGCGCAAGCACCCCGAGUGGUCGGUAGCGACACAAGACAUCUACCUUGACUUCAAAAUACUGACCAACAAACUGAAGAAACGCACGCGCUCCAAGCUGGCGUACGCGGCGGUAGACAAACUUAUGGAUGGCGAAGCCGGCCUAGGAGGCGACGACGUCUGGCUCGCCGGGCACUCUCUCGGCGCAUCACUGGCGCUGGACGUGGGUCGGGACAUGAUGGAGAGGCGAGAGCUGAACCUGCCGACCUUCCUCUUCAACCCGCCGCAGGUGUCGCUGACGGCGGCCAUGAACUUGCUGAACGCGCAGGACGUGGCCAAGAGGCACCUGCACUUCACGAGUUACCUCUUCAAGGCCGGUGCGGCAACGGUCUCGGGUCGCCACCAGAAGCGCAUGGAGAAGCUGUUCGACCGGCUUUCCCCAUGGGUGCCGAAUCUGUACCUGCACGAGAAGGACUGGAUCUGCCAGGGCUUCAUCGACUACUUCGAGCUGCGGCAGCGGUUCGUGGACCGAUUUCCCUGUGUUGCAAGCAAGUUCAUGACACUGUCGUACCGUGACAUGCUCUGGCGCCUGCUUGGCAAGGUCAAGGAGCGGCCGCACCUCCUUCCAUCGGCGAUGCUGUGGAAGACCGCGCAAAGCAGCCUCAACGCGCACGGGCUCCAGCAGUGGUGGAAACCGAAUGCCGAGCUCGGCUUGGGCGCCGGCACGCGUUAUAGCUACCCUGUACCUCAAGCAUAA